rnacentral:rRNA from 1 species
CCUACGGGUGGCAGCAGUGAGGAAUAUUGGUCAAUGGGCGCGAGCCUGAACCAGCCAAGUAGCGUGAAUGAUGACUGCCCUACGGGUUGUAAACUUCUUUUAUAAAGGAGUAAAGUGAGACACGUGUACCUUUUUGUAUGUACUUUAUGUACAAGGGUCGGCUAAAUCCGUGCCAGCACCCGAGGUGAUACGGAGGAUCCGAGCGUUAUCCGGAUUGAAUGGGUUUAAAGGGAACGUAGAUGGGUUGUUAAGUCAGGUGUGAAAGUUUGGGGCUCAACCGUAAAAUUGCAAUUGAUACUGGCAGCCUUGAGUACAGUAGAGGUAGGCAGAAUUCGUGGUGUAGCGGUGAAAUGCGUAGAUAUGACGAAGAACUCCGAUUGCGAAGGCAGCCUAUUAAACUGCCACUGACACUGAUGCGCGAAAGUGUGGGGAUCAAACAGGAUUAGAUACCCUAGUAGUC